rnacentral:lncRNA from 1 species
AUCAACUCAAACAAAUUUGCAACAAAUAAAUAAAACAAAAAAAUAAAUUCAACUAAAAAAAUUCAUAUGAAAAAAAAUAAAGUUGCAAUUGCUAAAAAUUUAAAAAUCCUAUAAAUAAAUGAACUAAAAAUUGAUCUCAUAUGAAAAAAAAAUCUCACAACAACAUUUAUACAAUUAUUAAGAACAAAAACAAUUAAAAAUAAAAUAAAAAAAAAUAUAGUGAAAAAAGUCAUGAAAACAGAAGAAAAAAGAAAAAUCUUACCUUAACGUAGUUGCAAGUGAAGCUAAGGAGAGAGAAAAAAUUUCGUUAAGCAUAUUAAUUAAAAAAAAACUAAGAGGAUAAAAGAAGAAAGAAGAA